AGAGUUUGAUCCUGGCUCAGGAUGAACGCUGACAGAAUGCUUAACACAGGCAAGACGAUUCGAUUGACCUUCGGGUAUUGAGGAUGGCGGACGGGUGAGUAACGCGUAAGGAACUUGCCUCUUGGUCUGGGACAACUGUUGGAAACGACAGCUAAUACCGGAUAUUAUGAGAUUCUCGCAUGGGAAACUUAUGAAAGCUAUAUGCGCCAAGAGAGAGCCUUGCGUUCCAUUAGCUAGUUGGUGGGGUAACGGCCCACCAAGGCGACGAUGGAUAGCCGGCCUGAGAGGGUGAACGGCCACAAGGGGACUGAGACACGGCCCUUACUCCUACGGGAGGCAGCAGUGGGGAAUAUUGGACAAUGGGCCACAAGCCUGAUCCAGCAAUUCUGUGUGCACGAUGAAGGUCUUCGGAUUGUAAAGUGCUUUCAGUUGGGAAGAAGAAAGUGACGGUACCAACAGAAGAAGCGACGGCUAAAUACGUGCCAGCAGCCGCGGUAAUACGUAUGUCGCAAGCGUUAUCCGGAUUUAUUGGGCGUAAAGCGCGUCUAGGCGGAAAAAUAAGUCUGAUGUUAAAAUGCGGGGCUCAACUCCGUAUUGCGUUGGAAACUGUUUUUCUAGAGUACUGGAGAGGUGGGCGGAACUACAAGUGUAGAGGUGAAAUUCGUAGAUAUUUGUAGGAAUGCCGAUGGAGAAGUCAGCUCACUGGACAGAUACUGACGCUAAAGCGCGAAAGCGUGGGGAGCAAACAGGAUUAGAUACCCUGGUAGUCCACGCC
rnacentral:rRNA from 1 species